AGCUUUGAGCAGGGGCUGUUUUACAGUUAGUAAGUUUUCAAUGAGGUGAAAUUAUUACUAAUUCAACUAUCCCAGUAUCUCACCAUGAUGACCUGAAAUAUAGUCAACACUGGCAAUUUUUCAUAGUCUCUAAGAGA